ACUGUAUACAGCUCCUAAACUGGAGUGGUCAAUCCCAUCUUGACACACGCACCGACAAGUCAAGUACUUGACUACACCCAGCAGCCUUCCAUCACUGAAUUAGAAAUUCAAGUAGUCCAGUGCCUAAGUGCAGUGAGUUGCUUGCAAGUCACUGUGGCGGUCUCAGGUUGGAGGGAUAUUUAUACCCAUAUUCCAUCAGAGUAAAUCUUGACAGCAGAAAUAGCUCCGGAGUCGAUCACGUUCAGUGCAGAUGUACCCUUAUAUCUCACCUGUAUGCCAUACCAGUGUCUCCACACUCAUUGGUUA
rnacentral:lncRNA from 1 species